AGACAGAAAAGCAGAUCUAAGCUGGAACUAGCAGCAAGAGAAGUAGUUUUGUUGGAGCCGUGGCUGAAAGCUGAAACAUUAGAGACUCCUCAGAACCUUUGACAGCAGUACGUGAACUCAUAGGAACCUGCAGGACCUGGAUAACACUUUGGACUGGAUAACAGCAAUUUAUAACCUGAAUUACUUACCCAUGCUAAUGAAGAUGGAAAUGAGCUUUCACAUCCAACUCUUACAGGGUUCUACUGUAUGUUCUUUAAAAUGGAUUUUCAUUUUAUCACCGAUGGCAGGAAAUUACCCAGCUCAUAACUAGGAUGGAAUAAACCUACCUAAUCCAGGAUACUGGAUAUCCUGGGUGAGACUGGACUGGAUAAUAAUGCAUCAAAAAGACUGCUACAGGAUUUCCUCAAGCAGAUUUAAAGGUUCUUUCAAAACCUUCCACUAUGGACAGUACCUUUUCCAUUCUUGCCCCAAGUCUGCUUUUACAGCACAGCAACUGGUGUCUUACUGGUCUUCCAAAAAUCAAAUAAAUGCUUCACACCUUUGCUUCAGCUUCAUGCAUCUCUACCCAUUUCUUGCCUCUUGCUAAAACAAAUAAUUUGUGUUGUUAUGAAAGUGCUCCUGCUCUAAUUAUGCAUGCAUGCUGAUGAUCAUCUGUGAUAAGAUACUGUACAACUUUACAGUGCCACACACUAAACACAGCAGCAUGCAGGAGCUCACAUGAUGGUCAUUUAAUAUCCAUGACUCACAGUCCACAGGACUAGGAUUCCAGCCAGCUGGGAUUUGUUCUAAGUGGCGUGAAAUGACAAACAGUGCAUGAUAUACAGCUCAGAUACCAAACAUGGUGGCCAAGCUUUUACAGAAACAUGGCUCCUUGCCCUCUCCAUUAAAAAAAAAAAAAAAAAAAAAAAAAAAAAA